CAGAAGAGGAGAGGAAACGUAACGAAGAACAGGAGAAGAAAGUGGGAAGAAGAAGCGAGGAGAUGAGCUGAAACACUCACUGACAAUUCAUUUUUCUGGACUUUUCUUAAAGCGCCUGAAUGCCUCUUGAUGCAUCACCAUGGUUUCAGUUUGUGUGUGUGUGUGUGUGUGUGUGUGUGUGUGUGUGUUAGAUCCCUGUUGUCUUUUCCGGCUCAAUGUUCCUGUGUGUUUAUGUGCAGGAGCUGUAGAUUGAAUCCUGCCCGCAGGGCUGCAAGAUGUACACACGGGAGCCGGGAGGUUCAAACAAGACCCCAGAGAGAGAGAGAACAGGCCCUUCUUUACAUCUGCUAACAGCUCUCCCUCCAAUACUCUCUCUCUCUCUCCCUCUGUGUGUGUUUACUCCUGAGCUAAUUGAGAUCUAAUUGCUGUAACACAGUGUAAAGCCCAAGCCAUCACCGGGGAAAUAUUGCUAACAGCCCAGCUUCUUCCCGCAGGGGAUUGUGGGUAGCAGAGAUGUCACAACUACUUAGUCUCAAAUCGGAGCAAAACAAACUUUUUCCCUCUGCAGAUUCAAUAAACACGGAUAAAACACGUGAGACGAGCAUGGUGACAAAAGAGGCGGAUGUUUCCUCUGAAGAGAGAGAGACGAUCAUCAAUGGCAUGAAAAAGAGAUGAGGGUGAUUAUAGAAUUACAACUCAGACAGAGAGAGAGAGAGAGAUAAAGAGAUGCAACUGAAGCCAUUAAAUGAUCCUUCGUCACAGAGGCUUGUGAAGAUGUUUUGUGUGUUUUAGUAAAUCCUGUCUCCUAGAAAUGACAUCUAUAUAACACUAAAUAUGUUUUACAGGAAACAGAGCUGGCUGUUUUCUGUCAGCAUCAUGAGAAAAUGUUGUUAAUUAACUGUUGUUAAUUAUCUGGCAGGUUGCAAAAGUGUUAAAACUGAACAUAUGAGUGAAAUGUUCAAUGACAACAUAUUUAUUUUUAUUUUUCAGCCAAAAUAUCUUAUUUUAAAACUUACUUUAAAACUUUUUCAUGGCUGUGUUUAGGCACCAGCUCUUGGUUCAGGUUAGGGAAAGAUCAUGAUCUUGGUUUAAUAUAGAAAAAAGUCUGCUGUGAAUCACAAGUUUAUUAACAUUUAACCAAAACCACAAUCUUCCACCAACCUUAACCAAAGUACUUUUGUUGCCUAAGUGUCUCGUACGCCCAACAUCCACCCCGACUACUACCUAUGAGUUAAAUGUGAUAUAUAAAUGUACAGUUUGGUUCAUUUAUUCAAAAAAAGUUUCCUGUGAACAUAAUGUGAACACAAUGAAAGUAGUAUGUAUAUAAACAUAAUUUCUAGGAGACAUGGUUGGUUUUUACCCACAUCAUAUGUCACAGUUACCCAUUUUGCAAAUCAUACUGCUGCAUUUUAGGAAUUUUGAUGUAUUUCUAUUGUUCCAGGCAGUCCUUUGGGUUUCCUUUCAUCUCUACCAGGUGGCUCUUAAAACCUGCUUGAGUUCAAGCUUUUUCUUAUGUUUUCAUUGUUUUCAAAUGUUUUUAACAGCAAAAAUGUGCUGAUUAAAUCCCCUGUUCUAUCUUCUCUAUGAGAUGCAGGUUCUAUGUUUGAGUACCCAGCCCCGGAUUAGCUGUGAUUAAAAACAUCAGUUUACGCCUUUGCAUUAUAUACUCACAAAACUGAAAUAAUCAAGGUCUUAAAACUACAUUUGGAAACAGAGAACCUCUGCAGGACAGGGCCUGAAAAUUUGGAAAUGAACCAGGAAGGACCCUCGUUAAGACCUUUAUCAUCCCAGUUGAUCCUGUGUUUUAGUGGUGGUAUAGAAACCAGUACAAACCAGUAGUUUACAGUAGCUUAUUUGUUAUGUUUAUGCUUACUGUACUUUUGAAUAUGACAUUCGUGCUGUAUUAAAUUAUACUCGUGGUUGCACAUUGUGAAGCACUUGUUAAGACAAGUUGCACAUGGAUAUAGAUAUAUAAGGAUUAUUAUUAUUAUUAUUACAGUGAACAUCAAGUUGGCAGUAUCUUUUGUUAAAGUUACAUUAUCAUUAUGAGGUAAUGCAGACUUGAUCUUCACUGUGAUGGAUUACAGGAUUCAAGCAUAUUUCAAGAGGCUGCUAAUUGAUUUUCAAGUCAUACAUUUAUUUAAAGAAGCUAAAGUACAAAAAAGGAUAAAUAAUUUGUAAUUAAGGGGAUUCGACUUGUAAAACCACCAGUGUGGCCCUUUAGCUGUGCUUCUUAAGAACGAAGGCUAACCCCCCUGCAUGUAAAAAAUUACAAUGAUGAUGCUUCAUUAUCUUAACAAGCGUGUAUCGCCUGCCCCAACCUCCCCACCGCCUCAUGAUUGAUCUAUAAAACCAACCAGUUACCACUGUCAAAGCACAUAAAUCAACCAAUCACAUGCAUGGAUGUGUUUAAUCACACAUUAGUCUAAUGCAUAUCUCCUGCUGUUUGGGGAACUGCUUUUUACUGCUGACACACACACACACACACAGACAACAGCCCAGCAGAGCAAUCUUCCGCCCCAUCAGUGCGUUAACUUUCUAAUUUACUGUGUUCUUGAAGUGGAGGAGAUAGUGAAUGAAUGUCCCGAGGAGGAGUCGGUCUCCCACACAGCAGGGGCUGGGAGGCCCCCUGCAGCCUGACACACACUCAGACAGUCUGAGUGUCACAGCGCUGCACGGCUCUGACUACACAUCAACUGCCAAAGAUGUCACCAUGACAAGAUAAUUUCGUGUGUGUGUGUGUGUGUGUGUUUG